rnacentral:rRNA from 1 species
AACGAACGCUGGCGGCAUGCCUAACACAUGCAAGUCGAACGAGAUCUUCGGGUCUAGUGGCGCACGGGUGCGUAACGCGUGGGAAUCUGCCCUUUGGUUCGGAAUAACAGUUGGAGACGACUGCUAAUACCGGAUGAUGACGAAAGUCCAAAGAUUUAUCGCCAGAGGAUGAGCCCGCGUAGGAUUAGCUAGUUGGUGUGGUAAAGGCGCACCAAGGCGACGAUCCUUAGCUGGUCUGAGAGGAUGAUCAGCCACACUGGGACUGAGACACGGCCCAGACUCCUACGGGAGGCAACAGUGGGGAAUAUUGGACAAUGGGCGAAAGCCUGAUCCAGCAAUGCCGCGUGAGUGAUGAAGGCCUUAGGGUUGUAAAGCUCUUUUACCCGGGAUGAUAAUGACAGUACCGGGAGAAUAAGCUCCGGCUAACUCCGUGCCAGCAGCCGCUGUAA